CAUGGCUCAAGUAUUUUUUCCAAACUUUUCAAAAGCAAAAAAUUAAAGUCCCUACACUACGGUUAAAUAUGAUUUUUGGUAUAUGUAAUAUUUGGUAAGAAGAAAUGUAAUAUACCUUUAUAGUAAAAAAACCUCAUCUUAAUCAACAUUUUCUCCGUUAAAGCUGCUGGAUGGAGUGAAAUACUGAAACGAAUAUAACUGGAACGCUACCUUGAGAUAAACUGCCAACCAAAUCUGACCCGUGUUUAUUACCUGAAUAAAUGCAUUAAUUGAAAGUUUUCAGGGCUGUUAAUUUAAAAAGCCUUUCUAUGUAAAUUUUAAGCCGGUUUUCAAGAAUACAUAUUCAUGUUGACGGAUGGAUCGGCGAUUUUGACAAUUUGUAGCCUGUUCGCAGGCUAGACAAUUUGACAAAAUGAGGUUUUU